rnacentral:rRNA from 1 species
GAUGAACGCUAGCGGCAGGCUUAAUACAUGCAAGUCGAGGGGCAGCAUGGUUGUAGCAAUACAACUGAUGGCGACCGGCAAACGGGUGCGGAACACGUACACAACUUACCCUGAACUGGGGGAUAGCCUUCCGAAAGGAAGAUUAAUACCUCAUAGGAUCGUAGAGUGGCAUCACUUAGCGAUUAAAGCUCCGGCGGUUCAGGAUGGGUGUGCGGCUGAUUAGGUAGUUGGUAGAGGUAACGGCCCACCAAGCCUGCGAUCAAUAACUGGUGUAGAACCACGACCGGUGCCAAGGACAUGGAGACACGGGCCCGACACCUACGGAAGGAAGCAGGAAGGAAUAUUGGUCAAUGGACGCAAGUCUGAACCAGCCAUUACGCGUGAAGGAUGAAGGUCCUCUGUAUUGUAAACUUCUUUUAUAGGGGACGAAAUCAACAUUUCCAUGUUGUCUGACGGUACCCUAGGAAUAAGCACCGGCUAACUCCGUGCCAGCAGCCGCCGUAACAC